UCCCUUGCACACAUUGAGAGUCAGUCCACAUAGACAGUGCUCUUCUGGGUGAAAUUUAUCUCAUCUUAUACAGUGAUGUUUAUUGCAAUGAGUCAUGUAUUUAUUCCCAUUGACUACCGACUACACAGUCUGGCCUUGCAUCUAUCUCUGGAAAGUAUCAGCAGUUACACAAAACCCAGACGCUAUUUGCGCAAUAUAUAAGAUGUGAUCCCCAACUGAGACAUGAGCUUUAAGAGAGUGUCUGGGUCUGCUCAGUAGAGACAUAGGAGGUAAGUCGAGAUUCCGGUCUUUUUAUAUGUUGCUGUAUUACACAGGUGGAAGGUACAGUGAACAGCUCCAUCUUGCCACAAACAAUGCAAUUGAAAAGAUAUUUGGCACUGCUGUACUGAGAUUUGCUUAAUCCACUGUCUCAUCCUUGAAAACAAGUGGAGAGGAUAGGAGGAGAUAGAUGUCCACAUAUAACGUGGUUAUUGGUUUGGGAAUAGAGUAAGUUAUCUACCUGUCCACUUGGUUAAUUUGUUAUUUUUUUAUAUAAACUUUGAUGGAAGUAUCUUUCCACUUCACCUUUUGAAUCUCUCAUUUUCUUUCUUUUAUCCUUAGGAUACUUUAAGCUUUCAGGUUGCCCAAAUUUGGAUUCCAAUUUAUCCUAAGAGAAAUUUGUUUUUUUUUUCAUUUGUUUUAAUGUGUAUCUAACAAGUAUUUGCAGUGAAGAAUAAAUAUUGCUUCUUGUUUUUGUCUCUUCAGAGAUAAUGCUAGGAACUAGAAAUACCAGUGCACUUGGUGAUCCAUUUUGGUACGGUCAUGUAUUUUCAGAUCUGGCAAAAUUCAAAAUGGAGAGCUUAUCUAUUGACAAAUGGAAGACUUCAUUAUUUUCACCAUAGCACAUGUCAUUCAUGACAUUUUAAUUUUAAUGGGAAAGCUACAUGCCCAUGUUUUUCUUGGUAGAGAUAAACCUAAAUGAAUCAGCUAAUGGAAGAUUUCCAAAUCCCUUUAAGGAUUUGAUAAAUAAAUGUAUAUAUAUACUUGCAUCAGAGUGAAUUGCAUUUCAGAAUUGAAUUCAGGUGGAGGUUAAGGAAAGGACAGUGAGGUGUCCUUUAAGAUGAAUAAAGUUACAAAAGGUAAUAAA
ensembl:lncRNA